GAAUCUGACAGUAGCUCGAGUAAGAAUUGCCACAGUUGAAUCUGACCGGAACCGGAGCUCGCCAGACGGCUGCUCGUCGCUCCAAACAUUUGGACUUUAAGAUCGUUGAGACGGAGACCUUGGAAUUUUAGUCUCAUCUUUAACAUUUGUUUGUCGAAACAAUACAACAUCAGGUGCUCCCUGUAUCACCCUUUAAAAGCCUUACAAUGCGUCAUCACCGUCGUUCGCUACUGCUCAGACCUGGAGUGCCCUACAACCGUACAAAAGGAUAUAAUCGCAACCCUACAAUAGAAUAGAGUUCGUUUGGAUCAUAAUAAUUUCAAUUGAAGGAAGGAACGAGCGAACGAACGAACGACGGAGUGGUUCAAAGGGCGUGCGCGAAUGUCUUCUGAGAGAACGAACACUGUUCAACUGAGCAUCGCGUUCUUUUAUUUUUUCCUAUGAGCUAAAUAUGACAUCGAAGUAGGAAGCAGCUAUCAACGUGCACGAAGAGGAACAAUAGUGGACGGAUAGAAUCGCUGAGAUUUCAACCACGAUUGCUUCGAGACUACCAUAAAAAUACAUUUCACCGAUUAUGAUAGGGGACAGACGUAUGGGGAUGGUUGGUGAAUUGCCGGACCUCAAAGGUCGUUUUUGCCCGAUGAAUCCCCUGAACGUGUGGCGGAGUGAUCGCCUUUCGAUCGAACGGAACAUCAAGAGUGAUGGCUGUUUCAUUUAAAAAAUGGUGUAGUGCUUUAACUUCUCAAAAAUAUCUACCUACUACAUACCAGGCUGCCUGAGUCGUCACUAUAAGAGCAUUCGAGGAGCUAGUUCGUAGAAGGCAGAUGCUACCUCUAAAUAGCAGUUGGUGUCCGCUGUGUUAAACAAUUUGAUUUCGUGUCUGAUUGGGACGCGGGACAACCUUGGUCGAGGGUCUGGAACGCGACGCCUCGGGUCCAGGUCGUGGGGUCCUCCGCAAUCAGUAUAGCCGUGGGGCUACCAGUUAGUCCCUGUCAGAAGACCAACUCUGACAUUAUGAUAACAAGAAGCUCCAACGUGGAAUGUCUAUCUGUUUCGCAUAAGUGCAUUGAUUAUGUAUGAACUGAAAGAAAAGGAACGAGGCACGUGGACUUUGAAAUUUUACAUUAUAAUUCAUAAACCAUUAAGUUAUCGCUAUUAAAAUUUUCCUGAACGAAUCAACCGUGUCACCUGUAACAAUCCCUCGGGUACAACUCUGUUCAUAACAAGUUUACGAAUGAAAGCAAGUAAAGGCAAGAUCGUAACGAUGAUCCCUGUCAAUCUUCUUCGAGGCAUAUCGCUGGAACAUCCGGUCGAGACGGAACGAGUCACGUCGAAAACGGACCAAUGGAAUAAUUUAAUUGAGAGAACUGUGCAUCACGGGCCAAAACGAUCGGUUCAAUCGUCUCUGAACAAGGUUAAAACAGUGGCACCCGCCGCUCUUAUUUACGUCCGACAAUAAGUCAAUUCAUCACUCUGCGAUUUGACCUUAAGUGGUAUCACUGACUCAUACGCACACCCGUGUAGAUCGUCGAUCCUA